UAAAUUUUAAAAUUAUACAAAAUACAAAUUACAUUAUUCAUUGUAAAAAGUCGUACUUAUAUUCUGUAGUGAAAUUACUUAUACAUUUUCUUUAAUAAUAUUGUUCCUAUCCCUCUCCUCCAUUUUUCCUACUUUUUCUCCGAUUUUUCCCAGGUUUUUCCUGGUUUUUCACAUGUAUUAUGAAAACAGCUGGUAAAAUCAAAACACGACGUCCCUAAAGUACCACUCCAGUCAGAUUUCUAUUCAAAAAAAGUGAUUUAAUCAAAAAU